UGUCCAAGGCAAACAUGAUAUAAAGACUAUGCACUACCAAAAUAACACUCAUGGCCAUAGAAACUAUGCUGCAGGCCCACGGGUUCUUUUAAAUGGUCAUGGCCAUAAUAGUGUGAAUUCCAUCAAUUCAGUGGAUGGGUGGGGAAAUAAAAGUUUUCCCCUAAACUUUUAGGAAAAAGUAGGCUUUUGUUUGGUUGUGUGUAUGGGUUUUUUUUUUUUUUUUUUUUUUUUUGCUUUUGGCUUUCAUUUUUAAAUCUUAAAUGCUACUAUUGCAGGCCACAAACAUGACAGACAAUGAGCAGGUAAAGAACCAAUGAAAAAGUAAAACAAAAAACUCCUGGGUUAGCUAACAGGUUUCUAAAGGUAUCACUGUGGUUCACAGAGAAGACUGCAGAGGAUAGCAGCUAGAUGCUGUAUCAACUACCACAGCCUUAAAACAAAGUUGGUAUCUCUUUGGACUUAAAAUUGCUCCUAUUCAAAAAGUGUAGAGCCACCAUUCAGGGAGAAAGUAGCUGCUGGGCUCCGGAAACGCUUGGCAUCUGGGCUCGGAGCAUGCUUUCCAUGACAAUGACACGCUUCCCUGAGGAUUGGCAGCCAGACUGCCUUCGGGGUCACUGCCAUGGAGGAGCCACAGUCCAAUCUCAGCAUCGACCCCUUCUCAGUCAGGAAACAUUUUCAGACCUAUGGAAACUACUUCCUGAAAACAACGUUCUGUCCUCCUCGCUUUCCCAACCCGUGGAUGAUUUGAUGCUGUCCCCGGAUGAUAUUGCACAAUGGUUCGGUCAAGACCUGGUUCCAGAUGAAGCUCCUACAGUGUCAGAGGCUCCUCCCGUCGUGGCCCAGGCACUGACAGCUCCUACACCAGUGGCCCCCACGCCCCCCUUCUGGCCCCUGUCAUCCUCUGUCCCUUUGCAGAAAACCUACCAUGGUGACUAUGGUUUCUUGGGCUUCUUGCAUCCUGGGACAGCCAAGUCUGUGACUUGCACGUACCCCUGCCCUCGACAAGAUGUUUUGCCAUCUGGCCAAGACCUGCCCCAUGCAGCUGUGGGUUGAUUCCAUACCCCGCACCUGGCACCCGCGUCCGUGCUAUGGCCAUCUACAAUCAGUCACAGCUCAUGACGGAGGUCAUGAGGCACUGCCCCCACCAUGAGCACUGCUCAGAUAGUGAUGGUCUGGCCCCUCCUCAGCAUCUUAUCAGUAGAAGGAAAUUUACAUAUGGAGUAUCUGGAUGACAGAAACACUUUUUGACAUAGCAUGGCAGCGCCCUAUGAGCCGCCUGAGGUCGGCUCUGAUUGUGCCACCACAUGUGUAACAGUUCCUGCAUGGGCAGCAUGAACCAGAGGCCUAUCCUCAUCAUCACCUGGAAUAUUCCAGUGGUGAUCUGCUGGAAUGGAGCAGCUUUGAGGUGAGCGUUUGUGCCUGUCCUGGGAGAGACUGGUGCACAAAGGAAGAGAAUUUCCUCAAGAAAGUGGAGCCUUGCCCUGAUGUGCCACCUGGGAGCACUAUGCGAGCACUGCCCAACAGCACCAGCUCCUCUCUCCAGCCAAAGAAGAACCCACUGGAUGGAGAAUAUUUCACCCUUCAGAUCCAUGGGUAUGAGUGCUUUAAGAUGUUCCGAGAGCUGAAUGAGGCCUUGGAACUCAAGGAUGCCCGGGAUGGGAAGGAGCCAGUGGGGAGCAGGGCCUACUCCAGCCACCUGAAGUCUAAGAAGGGGCAGUCUACCUCCCGCCGUAAAAAACUAAUGGUCAAGAGAGAGGAACCUGACUCAGACUGACAUUCUCCACUUCUUGUUUCCCACUGACAGCCUCCCGCCCCAUCUCUCCCUCCUCUGCCAUUUUGGGUUUUGGAUCCUUGAACCUUGCUUGCCAUAGGUGUGCAUCAGAAACACCCAGGACUUCCGUUUGCUUUGUCCUGGAGCUCGACUGAGGAUAUUGGCCUGCACUUGUGUUUUGUUGUGGGGAGGAGGAUGGGGAUUACGGCAUACCAGCUUUGAUUUUAAGGUUUUUACUGUGAGGGAUAUUUGGGAGAUGUAAGAAUUUUUCUUGUAGGUAAGGGUUAGUUUACAAUCAACCACAUAGUAGGUGGGGGCCCACUUCUUCACCAUACUAACCAGGGAAGCUGUCCCACACUCUUUAAUUUCCUCUAACUUCAAGUUCUAUAUCUGUGAAAUGCUGGCAUUUGUACCUCCUCACGGUGUGUUGUGAGGGUGAAUGAAAUAAUGUAUGUCUGGCCUUGAAACCACCUUUUAUUACAUGGGGUCUUGAACUUGACCCCCUUGAGGGUUCUUGUUCCCUGUCCCUGUUGGUCAGUGGGUUGGUAGUUUCUAUAGUUGGGCAGCUGGUUAAGUAGAGGGCAUUGCCAAGUCUCUGCUUGCCUGACAAAAUCCUCUCUGACAACCUCUUGGUGAACCUUAGUACCUAAAAGGAAAUCUCAGCCCAUCC